rnacentral:rRNA from 1 species
UACGUAGGGUGCAAGCGUUGUCCGGAAUUAUUGGGCGUAAAGAGCUCGUAGGUGGCGGGUCACGUCGGGUGUGAAAGCCCGGGGCUUAACCCCGGGUCUGCAUUCGAUACGGGCUGCUAGGGUCCGGCAGGGGAGACUGGGAAUUCCUGGUGAUAGGCGGUGAAAUGACGCAGAUAUCAGGGAGGGAACACCGGUGGCGAAGGCGGGGUCUCUGGGCCGGUACCGACGCUGGAGGAGCGAAAGCGUGGGGAGCAAACAGG